CACUGAGGGAACUCCUGAGGUUGUGAACCAGCAGUUCCUCAUCUCGCACCUAGGCAUACCCAGGGAUCAGCCAAGAAUUUUGGUCCUCUUCAUCAUUCAGUUAAAAAAAAAAUUAGCCUGAGAUUUUGCAAAGAUGGAGGCAGUGGCCUAAAUUUUAAUUCUCCCUGAAUCUUCCCACCAAUACAGAGAAAGAAAGCCAACUGGAAUGUGGCAAUCUGAAAACAGAAAUCAAAGCUGGAGGGAUUUCUCGGGAUCUAAUUUCCUGGUCAAAGCCUUGAACUAGAAGGAAAUUCUGGGAGUAGAAUCCAAACCGAACAGGACCAAGGCAACACGUUCAAAGGAAAAUGUUGCUGCAGGACUCAGGAGAUGACAAACUUAUUCUGGAAAGUGCCAGAUAGUAAACUUGCAAGCUUUAUUGUGGGCCACAUGCAUUCUCUGUCACAUAGUCUUCCUUCAUUCUCUCCCCUCUCCCUCCCUUCUUUCUUUUCUUUUUUUUCCCCCACAAUGCUUUAAAAAUGUGAGAAACAUUCUUAGCUUGAGGUCCAUAUUUG